rnacentral:rRNA from 1 species
UACGAAGGGGGCUAGCGUUGUCCGGAAUUACUGGGCGUAAAGAGUUCGUAGGCGGUUUGUCGCGUCGUCUGUGAAAACCCAUCGCUCAACGAUGGGCCGGCAGGCGAUACGGGCAGACUUGAGUACUGCAGGGGAGACUGGAAUUCCUGGUGUAGCGGUGAAAUGCGCAGAUAUCAGGAGGAACACCGGUGGCGAAGGCGGGUCUCUGGGCAGUAACUGACGCUGAGGAACGAAAGCGUGGGUAGCAAACAGG